GAAGCUGAAAAGAGCGUUAAAGAUUCAAUGCUUUGAUUCUUUAUACUUGUUGGAUGACAUCCGCAAGGAGUCUGAAAACAUGAUCUUUUUGAGAAUCAUUGUAUGCACUUUUUUAACGUUUAAACUGUGACCGAUGGUCGGCUGGUCUGUUGUUAAAGAAAGAUAGUGUCGGUCUUCGGAUCUUCAUGUUAUAGUCUUAAACACGGAUCUGGUUGAUCAUUGGAGACGGCGUGAUAUUAUACGGUGUUUGGCAGAUUGGUGACUCCUUGUGUCUGACUAAUAAUAGUCUUCACUUUGAUUUUGCUAGUUUGUCGAUCAUUGUUUAUAUUGCAAUAGUCUACAGUGUCUAAGUAGGUCACUCACCUGACCCGUCUUGAAACACGGACCAAGAAGUUCAGCAUGUGUGCAAGUCUAAGGGUCUUACGAAACCUGGAGGCGAAAUGAAAGUAAAGGCUUAGUUUACUAGGCUUAGAUGAGAUCCCUAAAACUUCGGUGGAAGGGCGCAUCAUCGGCCCGUAUCAAUAUUUGUGAAUAGAUGCGGAGCAAGAGCACAUAUGCUGAGACCCGAAAGAUGGUGACCUAUGCUUGUGCAGGUUGAAGCCAGAGGAAACUCUGGUGGAGGACCGAAGCGGUUCUGACGUGCAAAUCGAUCGUCAGACAUGAGUAUAGGGGCGAAAGACUAAUCGAACCAUCUAGUAGCUGGUUCCUCCUGAAGUUUCCCUCAGGAUAGCUGAAAUUCUUUUGUCCAGUCGUAUCCGGUAAAGCGAAUGAUUAGAGGUACUGGGAACUAAUAGUUCUCAACCUAUUCUCAAACUUUUAAUGGGUACGAUGUCCUCCCAGAUUAAUUUUGGCAGGACUUUGGAUGUGAAUUUCUAGUGGGCCAUUUUUGGUAAGCAGAACUGGCGCUGUGGGAUGAACCAAACGUUCGGUUAAAGUGCCAAACAUAACGCUCAUCAGACACCACAAAAGGUGUUGGUUGAUAUUGACAGUAGGACGGUGGCCAUGGAAGUUGGAAUCCGCUAAGGAGUGUGUAACAACUCACCUACCGAAUCAACCAGCCCUGAAAAUGGAUGGCGCUGUAGCGUUGGACUUAUACCGAACCGUUAUUGCAAUUUUUGUGCUUUAAAGCAAUAACGAGUAAGGAGGACACCGUGGUUGCGUCGAA
rnacentral:rRNA from 1 species